GUUUUGAAUCAUGGCUGCACGAUAUGAGGAAAAUAUGCGAUACGUGAUAACGUUGUUGAAUAUCGCAAAACGAUAUUACUUGCAAUAUAUUAACAGAAAUUACAUUAAAUUGU